GUACACAAAAAUGCACAUGCUGUGAGCUCGAUGAGUAGGGCGGGACACGUGGUAUCCUGUCUGAAUAUGGGGGGACCAUCCUCCAAGGCUAAAUACUCCUGACUGACCGAUAGUGAACCAGUACCGUGAGGGAAAGGCGAAAAGAACCCCGGCGAGGGGAGUGAAAAAGAACCUGAAACCGUGUACGUACAAGCAGUGGGAGCACGCUUCGGCGUGUGACUGCGUACCUUUUGUAUAAUGGGUCAGCGACUUAUAUUCUGUAGCAAGGUUAACCGAAUAGGGGAGCCGAAGGGAAACCGAGUCUUAACUGGGCGUUAAGUUGCAGGGUAUAGACCCGAAACCCGGUGAUCUAGCCAUGGGCAGGUUGAAGGUUGGGUAACACUAACUGGAGGACCGAACCGACUAAUGUUGAAAAAUUAGCGGAUGACUUGUGGCUGGGGGUGAAAGGCCAAUCAAACCGGGAGAUAGCUGGUUCUCCCCGAAAGCUAUUUAGGUAGCGCCUCGUGAAUUCAUCUCCGGGGGUAGAGCACUGUUUCGGCAAGGGGGUCAUCCCGACUUACCAACCCGAUGCAAACUGCGAAUACCGGAGAAUGUUAUCACGGGAGACACACGGCGGGUGCUAACGUCCGUCGUGAAGAGGGAAACAACCCAGACCGCCAGCUAAGGUCCCAAAGUCAUGGUUAAGUGGGAAACGAUGUGGGAAGGCCCAGACAGCCAGGAUGUUGGCUUAGAAGCAGCCAUCAUUUAAAGAAAGCGUAAUAGCUCACUGGUCGAGUCGGCCUGCGCGGAAGAUGUAACGGGGCUAAACCAUGCACCGAAGCUGCGGCAGCGACACUAUGUGUUGUUGGGUAGGGGAGCGUUCUGUAAGCCUGUGAAGGUGUACUGUGAGGUAUGCUGGAGGUAUCAGAAGUGCGAAUGCUGACAUAAGUAACGAUAAAGCGGGUGAAAAGCCCGCUCGCCGGAAGACCAAGGGUUCCUGUCCAACGUUAAUCGGGGCAGGGUGAGUCGACCCCUAAGGCGAGGCCGAAAGGCGUAGUCGAUGGGAAACAGGUUAAUAUUCCUGUACUUGGUGUUACUGCGAAGGGGGGACGGAGAAGGCUAUGUUGGCCGGGCGACGGUUGUCCCGGUUUAAGCGUGUAGGCUGGUUUUCCAGGCAAAUCC
rnacentral:rRNA from 1 species